rnacentral:piRNA from 1 species
UCUCACCUGGCCUUCAUGAAAUACUUUGAU